GGACUACUGGGGUAUCUAAUCCUGUUUGCUCCCCACGCUUUCGCUCCUCAGCGUCAGGUAAGGCCCAGAGAACCGCCUUCGCCACCGGUGUUCCUCCCGAUAUCUGCGCAUUUCACCGCUACACCGGGAAUUCCAUUCUCCCCUACCUACCUCUAGUCUGCCCGUAUCUACUGCAAGCCCAGGGUUAAGCCCUAGGUUUUCACAGCGGACGUAGCAGACCGCCUACGAGCUCUUUACGCCCAAUAAUUCCGGACAACGCUUGCGCCCUACGUGUUACCGCGGCUGCUGGCAC
rnacentral:rRNA from 1 species